rnacentral:rRNA from 1 species
AUUGAACGCUGGCGGCAUGCCUUACACAUGCAAGUCGACCGGCAGCGCGGGAGCAAUCCUGGAGGCGAGUGGCGAACGGGUGAGUAGGCCAUCGGAACGUGCGCAGUAGUGGGGGAUACCACGGCGAAAGCCGGAUUAAUACCGCAUACGACCUGAGGGUGAACGCGGGGUACCUGUCAAAGGGCAUCGCGCGAUUGGAGCGGCCGAGAUCAGAUUAGGUUGUUGGUGGGGUAAAGGCCUACCAAGCCUGCGAUCUGUAGCGGGUAUGAGAGGAUGAUCCGCCACACUGGGACUGAGACACGGCCCAGACUCCUACGGGAGGCAGCAGUGGGGAAUUUUGGACAAUGGGCGAAAGCCUGAUCCAGCCAUGCCGCGUGUCUGAGGAAGGCCUUCGGGUUGUAAAGGACUUUUGUCAGGGAGGAAAUCCCUAGUGCUAAUAACACUGGGGGAUGACAGUACCUGAAGAAUAAGCACCGGCUAACUACGUGCCAGCCGCCGCGGUAA